UUAUGGCUCAGGAUGAACGCUAGCUACAGGCUUAACACAUGCAAGUCGAGGGGCAGCAUUGGGAUAGCUUGCUAUUUCAGAUGGCGACCGGCGCACGGGUGAGUAACGCGUAUCCAACCUUCCUGCCAGUAGGGAACAGCCCGGCGAAAGUCGGAUUAAUGCCCUAUGUUCUUCAAUGCGGACAUCUAAGUUGAAGGAAAGAUUCAUCGCUGGCAGAUGGGGAUGCGUCCGAUUAGCUUGCCGGCGGGGUAACGGCCCACCGGGGCGACGAUCGGUAGGGGUUCUGAGAGGAAGGUCCCCCACACUGGUACUGAGACACGGACCAGACUCCUACGGGAGGCAGCAGUGAGGAAUAUUGGUCAAUGGGCGUAAGCCUGAACCAGCCAAGUAGCGUGCAAGGAUGACGGCCCUACGGGUUGUAAACUGCUUUUAUGCGGGGAUAAAGUGCGGCACGUGUGCCGCUUUGCAGGUACCGCAUGAAUAAGGACCGGCUAAUUCCGUGCCAGCCGCUGC
rnacentral:rRNA from 1 species